AUGAAUGGAAGACCCUGAAUGAAGUGGUUUGGCAUUUAUUUUCUGAUGUGGCAAACAACAAACGUUGCUGUGUUCAAGGCCUCCUUAAUCCUCAGAAGCGAAUGCUUUGGAAGUGAUGGAUUGAGGUACACACAUAAUGACCUGUUCCAGUCAGAAACUGAGAUCCUCAGAAGGAGUUGCCAACCGGAUCUACAGAAUGAGAUGUUGAACAGAUCAGUCCUAAGGCAUUUGCCAUGAAGCCUGUAUGAAUCCAGUGUUCUCACUUAACAGCUAUCUCAUUUCUUGGAGGUGCUGUUUCACUUCUUCAGAUAGAUUUUUCUGCAACUGAACAAGCAUAAGCAAAAUGGUAGGUGAUGGAUGGUUGUCCAUUUCAGUAGAAGGAGAAAUUCACCUUGAAAAGAGGGAUAUUUGGUGUCUUGUCCUAUUUCUAGCCCUGAC